rnacentral:rRNA from 1 species
UACGUAGGGUGCGAGCGUUAAUCGGAAUUACUGGGCGUAAAGCGUGCGCAGGCGGUUCGUUAAGUCAGCUGUGAAAGCCCCGGGCUCAACCUGGGAAUGGCGGUUGAAACUGGCGAACUAGAAUCUGGCAGAGGGGGGUGGAAUUCCACGUGUAGCAGUGAAAUGCGUAGAGAUGUGGAGGAACACCGAUGGCGAAGGCAGCCCCCUGGGAUGAUACUGACGCUCAGGCACGAAAGCGUGGGGAGCAAACAGG